rnacentral:rRNA from 1 species
CGCGUAGGCGGAUUAAUAAGUCAGUGGUGAAAUCUUUCGGCUCAACCGAGAAACUGCCAUUGAUACUGUUAAUCUUGAGUUCGGUUGAGGUAGGCGGAAUGUGUAAUGUAGCGGUGAAAUGCUUAGAUAUUACACAGAACACCAAUUGCGUAGGCAGCUUACUAGACCGACACUGACGCUGAGGCACGAAAGCGUGGGGAGCGAACAGGAUUAGAUACCCUGGUAGUCC